rnacentral:rRNA from 1 species
AUUGAACGCUGGCGGCAGGCCUAACACAUGCAAGUCGAGCGAGCGGCGGACGGGUGAGUAAUGCCUGGGAAUUGCCCAGUCGAGGGGGAUAACAGUAGGAAACGACUGCUAAUACCGCAUACGAUUGGAUUGCCCAGGAGGGAUUAGCUAGUUGGUGAGGUACUCGCUCACCAAGGCGACGAUCCCUAGCUGGUCUGAGAGGAUGAUCAGCCAAACUGUAAAUGAGACACGGUCCAGACUCCUUCGGAAGGCAGCAGUGGGGAAUAUUGAAAAAUGGGGGAAACCCUGAUGCAGCCAUGCCACGUGUGUGAAGAAGGCCGUCGGGUUGUAAAGCACUUUCAGCGAGGAGGCGUUACUCGCAGAAGAAGCACCGGCUAACUCCGAGCCAGCAGCCGCGGUAAUUC